rnacentral:rRNA from 1 species
AUGAACAUGGCGCUCAUGCUGCAUUGGGUUUGGCCGAUCUGUUGGGGCGAUGGGGGGCUGUGGCUGCAACUGAUUGAGGCCAAGUACUUGCAGGGCCAACCCCUAGCUUGCUCUCAAUUGGUUGGGUCCCAAUUCUGGAAAUCGAUUCAGGCCAUUAAGGAAGAGAUCAUACUGGGUUUGCAGUACUUGGUUGGAAAUGGGUCUGGGACCCAGUUU